UACGAGGGGGGCGAGCGUUGUUCGGAAUUACUGGGCGUAAAGCGUGCGUAGGUGGUUUGUUAAGUCUGAUGUGAAAGCCCUGGGCUCAACCUGGGAAUUGCAUUGGAUACUGGCAGGCUAGAGUGCGGUAGAGGGUAGUGGAAUUCCCGGUGUAGCAGUGAAAUGCGUAGAGAUCGGGAGGAACAUCUGUGGCGAAGGCGACUACCUGGACCAGCACUGACACUGAGGCACGAAAGCGUGGGGAGCAAACAGG
rnacentral:rRNA from 1 species